UACGGAGGGAGCUAGCGUUAUUCGGAAUUACUGGGCGUAAAGCGCACGUAGGCGGCUUUGUAAGUAAGAGGUGAAAGCCCAGAGCUCAACUCUGGAAUUGCCUUUAGACUGCAUCGCUUGAAUCAUGGAGAGGUCAGUGGAAUUCCGAGUGUAGAGGUGAAAUUCGUAGAUAUUCGGAAGAACACCAGUGGCGAAGGCGGCUGACUGGACAUGUAUUGACGCUGAGGUGCGAAAGCGUGGGAGCAACAGG
rnacentral:rRNA from 1 species